GGCCCCUUCGUCUAGCGGCCCAGGACACCGCCCUCUCAAGGCGGAGACAGGGGUUCGAGUCCCCUAGGGGCUACCU
rnacentral:tRNA from 1 species